UUAUUUUGUUACUAUUAAGACGUUCAUGACUACAGUGUUUGUAGGUCCGAAGACCACGGUGCACAGGUGUAUGAAUUAAAAAGUGCUUGCGCACAUCUCUAAUGAUCCUUCCGCAGGUUCACCUACGGAAA
rnacentral:misc_RNA from 1 species